AAAGGCCCUCAGAGCAGCUGCAGCUGUUUGGCUCCUCUGACUCUAAUUCAAGGGGAGUAAAUGGCUUGUUAUAGAAGAAAACUUUUCAGGGAAAUAACAGCACUUUUUUUUUUUCCCCUACAACUGCUUGGAGCAGAAGAACAGAAAACAGAAAAGCGGGGACUAUAAAGUACUGACCUGGGAAAAGAACUCCCAAGAUUGCCUGCAUAUAGACUGCAAGCCGUAACGUAACCAAACAAGAGUUCAAGAGCCUGUUACAGCAAGCAAAGAAACAGUGAGAUCUUUAUUAAUUGGACGUGAGACUAACUUUACCACUUGGUAAGCAGCGGCGCGGUAAAAGUAACAUUUAGCUCCCCCGCUGGGAGCAGAAACUGCUGCGGCCACUUUGUGCUUUUUCUUUCUGCAUCGCAGCCGGCAAUUGCAUUCACAGCGGUUCCGGCGGGAGUCGACCCUGUAUUACCCGUGCCGACCCCUCCCGUGGCCGCCUCCCCAGCAGAGCCCGUGAGAGCUCCGGCCGCGGCUGUCCUGCCAUCUCCCGUGUCGGCUCCACCAGCAGCUGUCUGCGCCUGCACUGCAGCUUUCGGCACCCGGAAAGGACGCGGCUGCCGUCCCCAGCCCGGCAAGAGAUGCAUUUCCUUCAGCUUUGCAGCCCCCACCGACUCCCGCGGCGACCCCGCCUUCGCCCGCCGCGCCGGUAAAGAAGAUUAGAGUCGACAAUAGCGACCACCAAGCCGAACCGUCUUCGGAGCCGCCCCUCUGCCCCCGACAGUAGCUGCCAGCGCCUGCGAUCAGCCGAGAUUCCCUCCCAAACUUUUCGAACUGUCCCGAGACUGCCCCUGCGGGGGCAGCUGAGACAGGGGGGAAGACGAGGAGGAGCGGGGGGAAGCCAUCCUGCCCCUGCGGUGCCGCAAGGGCCUGUGUAAAAACUCAGCGUUUUUCGCAAGCCGAUUCGAGUCUAGUUUAGAAGUUCCCAUUAAAGUUUAAAAUGCUUAAAUUCCCCUGCUCGCCCCAGCGGCCUAGAGAAAGUAACUCCUAAAAGUUCUGCCUCUGUUCCCCAGCCCGGGUUGGGGGUGGGGAGGGGGGGCGGGGUGAGAGUAGUACCAAGGAGCUGUAAAUUAACCCUGUGAGUACACCAAAGGGAACUGCAUAACUGUAAAGAAUCUAAAAGCCUGUGUUACAUAGACCUUUUUAACCAUUUGCAGUCUAUUUACUCCCAGCUCUCUGAGUUGCAGAGAUUAACUAGAAACUUACAAGUAAAAUUAAGCUUUAGUGUUGAUAGAUAGCUCAAAUCUUUAAGCCUAAGAUUAUAGUUAUGUUUUAUUGUUAAAGCUAAUAUUAUAAUAAAUGUUAUAGCUUUGUUAAUAGUA